UCGGCGGCACGCAAGCAUUAUACAAAAUUUGCCCCCAUAUUUUGCGAAUAUAAUCACUAAAAAGGCAAAACCAUCAUCACACGGGCUUAAACUUGAAAUUUCCAUCCGAAUGAAUAUUUAUCAUAUUUCAAAAAAGCCAAAAAUUACUUUCGUCGUCAAAACUCUUUAUUUUUUUUAAGAUACACUCUCAUGUGAACGGUUGUACGAAAAUAAAAGCCUCAAAAUUGGUAAAAAAUAAAGAGAAAAUUUAGAACAAGCUAAGGCUAAGGUUCGUUAAAAUAUAAAAAAUUUGUUAUUAUGUAUAGAUCUCUCACAACAUAAUAAAGAUCAUGCAGAGGUUGCUAAAGAAACAAUACAUGCACUUUUAUAAUACCCUCCUAAUGUUUUUUUUUCAGUAACAUAUUGUUUCGUGUCAAAAUCCCUUCAAUUUGUAUCAAUUUAAUAUCCAAAAUAAUUAAAGAACAAUUUAGGAACACUCUAUCUAAAAAGUCAAGUUGCGUCGUUGGCGUUGUUAUUUCUUCCCACCAACUGAUAAAAAUUAUUUCCUUUGUCAAAAACAAUUGCCUUUUGUAAGCGACAAAUUAGUGUUUGUAUCUUCACACAUUUUCCAUAGAAAACCACCCGUUACAUGCAAUCUAAAUUCUGAUGUUACGAAACACGCUUUAUAAGGAUGUUUGUUAAAAAAAUUGCAAACGAAACUCCUGAUCAACAGAAGUGUUUGUUGCAAAUAAAAACUCUACCUCUGUUUAAUUGACUUUAAGCUGAAUGCAAAAGAGAAGCAACAACACAACAAGAACAGAAUGGUGAUAAAUCUUGAUGCAAAGGAGCAAACGGAGAGACGUGAAUGUAAUGAUGGAUAAUGGAUCGCUUGGCAGAGGGAGUCAAUUACCCCUGCCUCCGAGCCAGGAACACAGAAAGAAGACCAGCAAGGGACCAAUACUUCCAUCUUUCAGGAUGCAAAUGUGUUUUCCGGAAUGAAGAAAAUACUUUGAAGAAGAACUACAAACUUUAUCUUGUUCCUACUCAGUGCUACGUCCUUGCUGAAAUCCCAUCUCCAUUAACUAAAAAAGUUUCGUCGUGACAAAAUUUCGACAAAUAUUUUUACCAAAUUUUCUUUGACCAAAUUCAAAAUGGGACGGAAUUGGGUUACGACCGAAUUUUUUGCAUUUAUUAUUUUUGAUAAUUCCCAUUGGAAGCCUAUUAUAUGAGGCCAGAAAUCUUUCAAUCUGGUCAAUGCCAACUGUGUCAUUAUCUUCAUUUAUAUCGAAUUCAUAAUCAUCUUUAUCGUCGGCAUCAUCAUCAUAAUUGUCAGUUCUUGGACUAACUUCGUUUUUACCAUCGUUCGAUAAAAAGCAAGCCGUUGUACCAGUUUGCAAAAAUAAAUGAAUUUUCAAUAGGAAAUGGAGGAUUGCUUUAGAAAAAUUUGUUCAAGAGAUUGCAUU